rnacentral:rRNA from 1 species
GACGAACGCUGGCGGCGUGCUUAACACAUGCAAGUCGAGCGGAAAGGCCCUUUCGGAGGUACUCGAGCGGCGAACGGGUGAGUAACACGUGAGUAAUCUGCCCUUGGCUUUGGGAUAACCACCGGAAACGGUGGCUAAUACCGGAUACGACCACUCCCGGCAUCGGGUGGUGGUGGAAAGUUUUUUCGGCCAGGGAUGUGCUCGCGGCCUAUCAGCUUGUUGGUGGGGUAAUGGCCUACCAAGGCUUCGACGGGUAGCCGGCCUGAGAGGGGGGCGGGCGACACUGGGACUGAGGCACGGGCCACACUCCUACGGGAGGCAGCAGUGUGGAAUAUUGGACAAUGGGCGGAAGCCUGAUCCAGCAACGCCGCGUGAGGGAUGACAGCCUUCGGGGUGUAAACCUCUUUCAGUACCGACGAAGCGCCGAUGAUGGCGGUGACGGUAGGUACAGAAGAAGCACCGGCCAACUACGUGCCAGCAGCCGCAGUAA